rnacentral:rRNA from 1 species
AUGGUGCGGCUUAGGUUAACUAAUACGAAUAAGAUACAGUUCACUCAACGAUUGCCCUUGGGUCCCAAACUCCAUAUGGGGAAGGAACGUUGUUGUUUGCGAGGUCUCGAUCAUUUACAUGGACCCACUUCUCAUUCUAUUUGUGGGAAUUUGAUGAUUUGUAAACCGUCCCCAACGAGCGAAAGGUUCAUGUUUGAACAUGAUCAAUCACUUCGUGCCGACCUGUUGCCCAUAAACUUUCCUGCCUCAUAUGAGAAUGGAAAACUGGAAGAUUUUCUGCAUCGGUGGAUGAAGAAUCACGAACAUAAGAAUUUCUGGUUUAGCAUGUUCCCAGAAAGAAGAUACUUUUUUUCCAUUCGAGAAAUGAGGAGCACGACUGAAGUGGCUAUACAUACAAAUCCAUUUACGGAUCUAUAUGCUCCGAUUGGAACUGGAAGUUCCAGAACUAGCGAAGUUCACUGA